rnacentral:rRNA from 1 species
UACAGAGGUGGCAAGCGUUGUUCGGAAUUACUGGGCGUAAAGGGCGCGUAGGCGGUCGCCUAAGUCGGACGUGAAAUCCCCAAGCUUAACUUGGGAACUGCGUCCGAUACUGGGUGACUUGAGUUCGGGAGAGGAAUGUGGAAUUCCAGGUGUAGCGGUGAAAUGCGUAGAUAUCUGGAGGAACACCGGUGGCGAAGGCGGCAUUCUGGACCGACAUUGACGCUGAACGGCGAAAGCUAGGGGAGCAAACGGGA